GACGAACGCUGGCGGCGUGCUUAACACAUGCAAGUCGAACGGUGAAAGCGGAGCUUGCUCCGCUGGAUCAGUGGCGAACGGGUGAGUGACACGUGGGCAACCUGCCCCAGACUUCGGGAUAACUCCUCGAAAGAGGUGCUAAUACCGGAUACGAAGCCCCCAGGCAUCUGGGGGUUUGGAAAGUUUUUCGGUCUGGGAUGGGCCCGCGGCCUAUCAGCUUGUUGGUGAGGUAACGGCUCACCAAGGCGACGACGGGUAGCCGGACUGAGAGGGAGACCGGCCACACUGGGGCUGAGACAGUGCCCAGACUCCUACGGGAGGCAGGAGUGGGGAAUAUUGCGCAAUGGGCGAAAGCCUGACGCAGCAACGCCGCGUGAGGAAUGACGGCCUUCGGGUUGUAAACCUCUUUCAGCAGGGAAGAAGCGAAAGUGACGGUACCUGCAGAAGAAGCACCGGCUAACUACGUGCCAGCCGCCGCCGUAACAC
rnacentral:rRNA from 1 species